GUCCAGACUCCUACGGGAGGCAGCAGUGGGGAAUAUUGCACAAUGGGGGAAACCCUGAUGCAGCGACGCCGCGUGAGUGAAGAAGUAUUUCGGUAUGUAAAGCUCUAUCAGCAGGGAAGAAAAUGACGGUACCUGAUUAAGAAGCCCCGGCUAACUACGUGCCAGCAGCCGCGGUAAUACGUAGGGGGCAAGCGUUAUCCGGAUUUACUGGGUGUAAAGGGAGCGUAGACGGUGAUGCAAGUCAGAAGUGAAAGCCCGGGGCUCAACUCCGGGACUGCUUUUGAAACUGUGUGACUGGAGUGCAGGAGAGGUAAGCGGAAUUCCUGGUGUAGCGGUGAAAUGCGUAGAUAUCAGGAGGAACACCGGCGGCGAAGGCGGCCUGCUGGACUGAAACUGACGUUGAGGCUCGAAAGCGUGGGGAGCAAACAGGAUUAGAUACCCUAGUA
rnacentral:rRNA from 1 species